rnacentral:miRNA from 1 species
CCUAUUCGGGGUGACUUGGUUC